UGUCAGAUAUAAACCAUAAAUAUUUAUAUAUUGAUAUUUAACGAUUCGGCGCUAUCAAAACAAUGUUACUUAUCCGUAAAAACUUUCUUAAUCAAUCGCUAAAAAGUUUAAUCAGGGCAAAAAGCACCAAAUAAAAAUUUAUUUAAAAUUUUUUUUGUUUUAUUUUGAAAUAUAUAACAUUAAAAAAAAAACAACUUAUAUUUAGAUUUAAAAAUAAUGAUUCGAAAUGUGAUUCGAAACGCGAAUCAAGACCUGCUUUGAUUCGAGAUUCGAUUCGAAGCAAAAAAUGCCAAUUCGCAGGGCCCUAAUAUAUAUUUUUAUCUAAAGAAUCUUAUUAUUUUUUAUUUUAUAGAACUUCUAUCAUUAGAGCUCAUAAAAGAAUUGUAUGAAAAUUCUGUUAAAUUAAUUGAAGAAAGUUUAAAAGCAGCUAUAUUAGAUGAAACUUUUAGUAUUAUAAUUGAAGGGCUUAAAACUCCAGGAAAUUAUGCAGCUGAGUUAGCCUUAUGCAUAGUUGAAAAUGCUGGACAAAAAAAGAUUGAUUUUUGCAAAAAUAUUUUUGAAGUAUUUCUUCCUAUAGUUAAUUUGUGUGGAAACACAUCCCAGUUAGGAGAGCAACAGUGUACGAUGUUGAACUGCCUUAUCAAGAAUGUUGUAUUACGCUCUUCAUGGAAUGAAUUCGUUUUUGACUUUUCUAAUUUUAAAGCUGGGUUUGACAUUCUGUAUUUAUUUAUAUUAAAGACGUGGUUUAAGAAUGCUAUAGAUUGGAGGAAUCAUGUAUAGUUAGAAUCAAAUUAUAAAGAGCUAGAUUUAAAAUUAACAUCAGAAGAAGAAGAAACUGUUCGCUAUGUAGCUGGGUUUAUUCCAUUUUCAUUGCGAAAAAUGUAUUCUAAUCACCUAAUUAUCAAAUAUAAAGGUGAAGAUCUAAGAUGUUUUAAUGAAAAAAUUUCAAUCAAGUUUUCUUAUCGAUUUGAGUUGGACAUCGCUAACCAAAAAUGUUGAAUGUGAACCUUUAAAGGAUUUAUUAAAAGAAAUUAUACUUCGAAAGUGGGUGAGCAUACGUACGCGCUCUUUUUUAAAAGCCUGGGUCCGAAUAAUAAAUAGAAAGAGUGGAAAAAUAGGAAACAAUGUAUCAGAAAAAGGUGAACCGGCAUUAAGAAAAACAUUGCAUAAAAAGAAAAAUAAUUUAAAGUAAUUAGAUAUUAGCAAAGUUAACUUUAAAAACUUUUUUUAAACUUAAACUCUUUUUUAUAAAAAAUUUUACUUCAUAUAUCCAAACUAAUAUUUUUACAAAUAAAACUAUUUAAUUCUAGUUAUAUUUAUCGAUGACGGAAAUAUUUACUAAAUAUUUACUAAUUUUUAAUGUAAACUUUCACUGAUUAUUUUUUUUAAGUUUUAGAUUUAAGUUUGAUAAAUAUUAUUUUGAUAACAAGUAAAAAAUAUUAAACGGGGAUUAGGGGUCUUAAUAAGCUUAGGAUGGGUGGGAAAAAUGUCCAAAAAUUAUUAAACGUACCCCCUCCCUCCUCCCCCCGUGUAUUAAAGACACGAGAGCAUUUAUAUAUAUAAUAAGAUAUACAAUAGACAACUUACAUAUGUUUGUUUAACAAAUUACUUUUACCUUUAUACUUAUGUAUUUUUAUAUUUGUUUUUUGCUAACAAAGGAUUGGUAAAAAUAAGCACUACUCGGUUAUUUUUGUUUGCUUUUUUCAAAACAUCUUUAGUUUUUACUUGAUAAGGGUUGAUUUUUUUACUGUGAUUUCAUUUUUACGAUGAUGAUAUGAAAAGUUUGAUGGAUUAAAUUUAAAUUGAUGGAAAUUAAUUUUAAUUGAUGGAUUAAAUUUAAAUUGAUGGAAAUAUUGUUGUAUUAAAAUAUUUAAAGUGAAAUUGAAAAGUUUAUUCAACAAUCAUCUUGGAAUGUUAAUAUUGAAAUGUUAAAAUAACUGACAACAAAGUAAAUCAGUGUUCUUCACAUCAAGCUUUUGGAAUUCAUCCUUUUGACCUUUGGUAUUUGAACCAAAAACACGAAUUAAAUUAUCUCCUGAAACAUUUAGGGCAAGUGCAUUGGAAUUAAAUUCAAUUAACAAAGGAUUGUCAUUGCAACCUAAUCGCAUUCGUUGCUUGCCAAAGUAUUCCUCUAAUGGAUCUUGGCAGAACUUUUCGGACAGAAUGUACUCAGCUCCUUCUACCAGCAAAAACUUUCCAAGAGUUGUAAACGAAUUCACUAGAAAAGAAAACAGUUUUUAAU
rnacentral:lncRNA from 1 species